rnacentral:rRNA from 1 species
UACAGAGGGGGCAAGCGUUGUUCGGAAUUACUGGGCGUAAAGGGCGCGUAGGCGGCCUUCUAAGUCGAACGUGAAAUCCCCGGGCUCAACUCGGGAACUGCGUCCGAUACUGGCUCGCUAGAGUGCGGUAGAGGAGAGUGGAAUUCCCGGUGUAGCAGUGAAAUGCGUAGAGAUCGGGAGGAACAUCAGUUGCGAAGGCGGCUCUCUGGACCAGCACUGACACUGAGGCACGAAAGCGUGGGGAGCAAACAGG